AUUAGCAUGAUUCCAUUUAUAAUUGCGUAUCUAAGAGGACGUUACAUAGAGAGUGUUUAAGGAUUGAUCUACAGUAGUGUUAGUAGUUGUAAGGGGUACUCGUGACUAUUUCUUUAAUUCUUUCAGUCUUCAUUCUGCAGUGUUGUGUUGGCAAUGGAGGAGUAUGUUUGUCGGAUUUGUGUUUUGAUCAUCCGUGUGGACAAUCGGUUUGACUGAGUGUUUGCUUGUCAAGGUUGUUUUUAGAUUUAGUCCCUGAUGCGCUGAACUCUUGCUUUUAUACGGCAGUAUAAAACUAAAUCAAUAAAUGUGUAAUUAAAAAUAACUUGUGCCUAGUUUGUGUUUUGUUUUUACUUUUCGCGUGUUGCAGGAUGCAGACAUUGUGGAUUGAUCACCGUUUGGAGUUAAUUAUUUUGCAGUUGGUGAUGUGUUGGCGGUUUUUUUAUGAUGAGGAGAUGAUUAUUUAGUGAAGACCAUAUUACGAGGAAACAUGAAAGGGUCGUUGCCGUCGUGCCACCUACCGUCAUCUAUUUUAUUCAAAAUCUUUGUAUUCUUCUGAAUGUGCCAUCGAAAUGAUACAGAUCACCAACCCCAGCAUAGACCAAUCUCUCAUUUCAUCUUCUCGAGAGAAGAUUGGAUAACUGAUCAGCUGUGGUUUCAUGUGAUCUUAACUCCAGGUUUCUAAAUUUGCAUGGCAGACUUUAUGAGAAGUUGUGUCCUUUCAAGAAAGUCAACAAGGUCACUUGUUUACUAACCUUUUGGCUGCUACCCUUGAAUCUCCCGUUUUACUCUCUAAAGCGGGCCAUCUUAAUUUGAGGGUAAUCCUUCGCUACUUGUCAUUGACUUCAACCACUGGGGAAAACCGACGAGAGAAUGCUGUAAUCCAAGACUGAUAAAUUGUUUAAUCGUUAGAUUAAAUUAUAAGUGCUUAUCUGGGCUCCCUUCUUUUCUGUGGCCCCGUUUCCCUAUCUAACCACUAACCAAUGCCCGCCGGUGGUCACUCACCCGCUGUGAA